GGAGGUGCUCUCCUCUCUCCCGGCUGCCCUGCCUGCCUGCCCCCUGCCUGCCUCCGGCCCUGCCUCCUUGCCUGCCUGCCUGCCUUCCUCCAGCCCUGCCUGCCUGCCUCCGGGCCGUGCGGCUCUCGGCCCGGGCAGCAGCAGUAGUUUAUACUCCAGCCAGAAAAGCCAACAUCAGGCGUUAAUUGUUGUCUAUAACAAAUCCCCUCCCCUCUCCUCCUUCAGUCGGCGAUGCGGGGUGCGGGCGGGAGGUGCUCUCCUCUCCCCACACGGUGCUGCUGCUAAAUGCAGAAGGAGAGGAGGAGAAGCCAUCGCGGGCGAGCAAAGGAGCUUUUGUGUCCACGAGUCCCUUGCUGGGCAAAGGGCUCAAAGACGCCUGAGCAAUCCAGCCUCAGAGCUCCUCAGUUCAGUGGUGCCUGAGCAAGCUCAGCACUUCCCAGGUGCUGGACUCCACAAUCCUGCAUAAAGCAUAAGGAAGAUUUUCAAAGGAAAGUGGGGUCUCCAGAAUAUACUCUACUGAAGAAAUUGAGCAAAUGACAAAGCCAAUAUUAAUCAAAGUAUUGGUGAUCAGAAUCAGUCUCUCUGCUGGAGCUCAGUAUUUGCUCUAGGUGUUCUGGUGCUCAUUACUGAAGCCAAAUUUUAAAUUAGCAUGGAUUUUUACAGUUACCAAAUUAGGCUCCAUCAUGAGCUUUCAUUAAAAAUACAAGAGCUGGGUACUUGGAGCAGAUUAGCACUCUGCUUUCCUGGGAUAUAACAGUGUUUACAUCCACUGGGUUCCUAUAGUGGGUGUUGAUAGGAGGCAGCAAGGUUUGGUAUGUGUUUCUGUAGAAUGUAAAGGACUUAGAACACCAAUAUGGUGAAUUAAAAAAAAAAAAAAAAAAACCAAAACAGCAAAAUAAUUACAUUUAUUUGCCUUAACCUAAUCUUUUUAACCAUCCUUUGCAGAGAGAAUGUAAAUAAAGAAAAGUAUUCAGUUGUUUAUGACAAAUAACAAGAAUACAUUGUCUAAAAGCUAAUUUUUUCAAGUCUGAUGUUAGGUUUGUUAUUUUUCUUUUUUCUUUCUGACCUCAAUGAACCUGGUACAUCUGUCACUGUUGCACAAGCUAGAUCUGUGCAUGCAACUGCUAGGCAUGAGCAGAGCUUCAUAUGAGAGACAGUGAUACUGGGAGUCCUGGUCUGAUCCAUCGUGGGGACCAGGGAAAUUAAUCCAGGUGGAUGGUGCUUUUAAGCAGUGCUUCACUCACAAAAUUCUAUAAUCAGUAGCUCAUGGUGAAUGAAAUCUGUAGCUAUUUCUGAGAGUAGCUUAAAUGUCUGUUACUUGCAGUGUGAUUUGCACCUUGGCAAUGUAAUGUAAUAGACUUUAUAUCUGAUGAGACUUUUGUAUCUGAGGAGACUUUUAUACUUCAAAUACGUAUCAGAAAUUGUAUUGUUUUCUUCAUGAAAGCAUAUUGUGGAGCUGCACUCAAGGACAGCAGAGAGUGAUAUAAGCAACACUUUGGCACAACUUUGGCAAUCCUCAGCCUAGUGACUGCUGUCUGUUCUAGCACAGAGGGAUGGCACAAAGGAAACUAGAAGAGACUCACCAGUUUGCCAGCCUGACUGAAGCCAAGCUCUGCACCUGCUUGUUAGAGAAAGACCUGUAGACUGUAGAGCUGCCUGUGCUGAGAAUAAAUGGGAAAAGGAGGGGGGGAAACGCAACUUGCUGUCCUGCUAGAAGUCUCCUCAUUUACAAGAAGAGGUGUAAGCAUAUUAUGUGCGUUGCUGCAGAUCCCAUUUCAGGGGAACACAUCAGCACAGAUUUUGUGCACUAUACAGGUGUCAGCACAGAUUUAUUCACAUCGACUCUAAUAAAUGCACCUUUGAUGAGCAGCAGUCAGUUCUCCCCAACCCACUUCUUUGGUACAAUACAAAAGGCUACUCCACUGCACUCCCAUGCUCAGCAGAAUGCUAAUUCUUGGGUACUGAAGGAGUCCCCACACCUGAGCUGGUAGAGAAAUCACCCUCAGUCGAAGAGCUCAGUCUAGGUGUACAGGACCCUUCCUUUAAGGAUUAAUUUUGCUGGAAAAUGCAAAAGGUUUACAUUUCUGAUAAGUAAUUAUACUUGCAUUGUUGCCAGAGCUGAAGCUUUGAUGGUGAGGUGGGACAACUGUGGGCAAAGAGAAUCACAGACAAUCUCUGUGAAGCAGAUCCUCUUGGAUAAAUCAACCCAAGCCAAACAAUGAGGAUAAACUGCCAUUCAACUAAGUGUGCUAAAAGAGCUCAAAUAUGAAAUUGCUGAGCUACCAAAGCAGAGCUUAAACCAACCACCAUCUCAAGGAGCAAAAGAAGAAAGUCAGGAUUGAAGCAAGCUGACAUGUCUGGCUGAAACGGCGUGGUCCUGUUCAUGGAGUCUGGACUGACACAACCAUUGAAGGAAGCCCAAGAAGAAAGCAUGUGAUAAAUUUAUACCCACAAAAUCAUUAUCAAAUAACAGCAGCGCUGCUGUGUUCUCCAGUUUGGAAGGAAACCAUAUAACCACAGAUUUGAUUGAGCUUCUGCUGGGAAGUCAGUGUAAUCAUCACCUUCAAAACAGCAAAACCUCAGUUUGCCAUUUGUGAAGUGUCUCCUGUGUAAUUUUCACGAUUUCCUAGAAGAUGUGAUUAACCCAGAUGCCAGUGCUGCUCCAUUCCUGCAUGCUCACCAAUCAGUGCAGGAUUAAUAAGAUGCCAGUAAGCUUAGCAGAAUGGAAAUUUGAAGUAAGAGAGAGCACACCUCAGGCUGUGUGGAAUGGCACUGAUGUUAGGAGCCAUGAAGAUGGAAACCUAAAUCACUGUCUUCCUGGGACCUCCUGAGAGCUCUCACUGCUUGGUGAGACAAAGAAGACUGCAAGAUAAAGAGUACUCCAAGGUAUAUUACAGACCACAGAGGAUCUAAGAAAUUACAGCAGUGGCCAACUGGAUUGGUGUACCUCAAGAUGACUUCAGACACAGAGCCCUGAACCAGAGCACGGACCUUUGUUGACCACACCAGCAAAGGAUCUGGUACUGUUCCAUGUUUCUGUGAUGAGCUAAACAUUUCGGAGGACAGGACCUUGUUACUGCCUUUCCCACCAAACACAGCAAGAAUUUCAGAAACUACAGAGAAGCCGAAGUAAUUAAUGAAAAGUACUGGUGUCAUGUGGACAAGAACAGGGCACACAUUCAGCCCUUUCUUCAGCCCUUCCGACUAAUGGGAAAUAUCCUUCUGCGUGGACCAUAUGACUGGGUCCAGAGGCUGGAUUUAAUAUAUUUGCAGCCCAAUCAUUUUCCCAAGUGAACUGUCAAUUACCAGUGUGAGACAGAAAAGAUGCUGAUUACCUGGGCCAAACUCUGCUCUUGUUUGUGUCAGAACAAUAUCCCUGAUUGCGCUUGCUUCCGUGCGACUGUGGGUUGAGUUUGGCUCUGUCUCCUCAGUUCCCUGGGUUGUCUUUGAACCACAGGAACAGCACUUUGAGACAGCUACUUGGGCAAUCGCUAAUGGCAGGAAAAUCCACAGUUCUUCAGACAUUAAGGCAUUGUAAAUACUGAAAGAAAAUAAAUCUGUGUUGUGUUUUUUUGGCAUACAAUGCCUAAAGCCUUAUCUCUCAUUCUGUCAGGAACCAAGAACUAUGUAUACAGAUGGUGCAAUUUAUUAUGUUCUGUACUGUGACCAAGUGCUGAAAUACCUUCAGGAAAUCACCAGAAAGCCUGAAAAGCUUUGCUGUCUCUUGUGACUGCAGCUCACUAAAACUGUAAUUGAAUGAGCACAAUAUAUUAAGCCCUGCGUAUUACACAGUAAGCUUACAGAAAAGGACGCCAUCUUUUUCAGCAUCAUUACAGAAAAUAUCUUUGCUGUACAAUUACUGCCUAUACCCAAGAUCAUAAUGUCUCUGCCUCUCUAAAUUCUGCUCUUAUAAA